CUCAAAUUUGAAAUCUAGCACUUUCAGUGUUCGAGUUGUAAUUUGAAGAAGGUAACUUUGGUUUUGGCUCUUGUCUAUGUUCCUUGGAACAGGACGUCACAGAGGGUGAGAAUCCCGUGCGAUGAGAUGCCCAAUUCCAUGUAAAGUGCUUUCGAAGAGUCGAGUUGUUUGGGAAUGCAGCUCUAAGUGGGUGGUAAAUUCCAUCUAAAGCUAAAUAUUGGCGAGAGACCGAUAGCGAACAAGUACAGUGAUGGAAAGAUGAAAAGAACUUUGAAAAGAGAGUGAAAAAGUACGUGAAAUUGUUGAAAGGGAAGGGCUUGAGAUCAGACUUGGUAUUUUGCGUUCCCUUCCUUUUUGGUUGGGUUCCUCGCAGUUUACUGGGCCAGCAUCGGUUUGGAUGGUAGGAUAAUGACAUUGGAAUGUAGCUUUACUUCGGUGAAGUGUUAUAGACUUUGUUGAUACUGCCUAUCUAGACCGAGGACUGCGUCUUGAC
rnacentral:rRNA from 1 species